GCCUAAAGCCAUACCAUCCUGAACACGCCCGAUCUCAUCUGAUCUCAGAAGCCAAGCAGGGUCAGGCCUGGUGAUUACUUGGAUGGGAGGAAAAAGGAGUGCAUAGGAA
rnacentral:rRNA from 1 species